rnacentral:rRNA from 1 species
GACGAACGCUGGCGGCGUGCCUAAUACAUGCAAGUUGAGCGCUGAAGGUUGGUACUUGUACCGACUGGAUGAGCAGCGAACGGGUGAGUAACGCGUGGGGAAUCUGCCUUUGAGCGGGGGACAACAUUUGGAAACGAAUGCUAAUACCGCAUAAAAACUUUAAACACAAGUUUUAAGUUUGAAAGAUGCAAUUGCAUCACUCAAAGAUGAUCCCGCGUUGUAUUAGCUAGUUGGUGAGGUAAAGGCCCACCAAGGCGAUGAUACAUAGCCGACCUGAGAGGGUGAUCGGCCACAUUGGGACUGGGACACGGCCCAAACUCCUACGGGAGGCAGCAGUAGGGAAUCUUCGGCAAUGGACGAAAGUCUGACCGAGCAACGCCGCGUGAGUGAAGAAGGUUUUCGGAUCGUAAAACUCUGUUGGUAGAGAAGAACGUUGGUGAGAGUGGAAAGCUCAUCAAGUGACGGUAACUACCCAGAAAGGGACGGCUAACUACGUG